UACGUAGGGUGCAAGCGUUGUCCGGAAUUAUUGGGCGUAAAGAGCUCGUAGGCGGUUUGUCGCGUCUGCUGUGAAAACUCGGGGCUCAACCCCGGACUUGCAGUGGGUACGGGCAGACUAGAGUGUGGUAGGGGAGACUGGAAUUCCUGGUGUAGCGGUGAAAUGCGCAGAUAUCAGGAGGAACACCGAUGGCGAAGGCAGGUCUCUGGGCCAUAACUGACGCUGAGAAGCGAAAGCAUGGGGAGCGAACAGG
rnacentral:rRNA from 1 species